rnacentral:rRNA from 1 species
AUGAAGGACGUUACUAACGACGAUAUGCUUUGGGGAGCUGUAAGUAAGCUUUGAUCCAGAGAUUUCCGAAUGGGGAAACCCAGCAUGAGUUAUGUCAUGUUAUCGAUAUGUGAAUACAUAGCAUAUCAGAAGGCACACCCGGAGAACUGAAACAUCUUAGUACCCGGAGGAAGAGAAAGAAAAUUCGAUUCCCUUAGUAGCGGCGAGCGAAACGGGAAGAGCCCAAACCAACAAGCUUGCUUGUUGGGGUUGUAGGACACUCUAUACGGAGUUACAAAGGACGACAUUAGACGAAUCAUCUGGAAAGAUGAAUCAAAGAAGGUAAUAAUCCUGUAGUCGAAAAUGUUGUCUCUCUUGAGUGGAUCCUGAGUACGACGGAGCACGUGAAAUUCCGUCGGAAUCUGGGAGGACCAUCUCCUAAGGCUAAAUACUCUCUAGUGACCGAUAGUGAACCAGUACCGUGAGGGAAAGGUGAAAAGCACCCCGGAAGGGGAGUGAAAUAGAACCUGAAACCGUGUGCUUACAAGUAGUCAGAGCCCGUUAAUGGGUGAUGGCGUGCCUUUUGUAGAAUGAACCGGCGAGUUACGAUUUGAUGCAAGGUUAAGCAGUAAAUGUGGAGCCGUAGCGAAAGCGAGUCUGAAUAGGGCGUUUAGUAUUUGGUCGUAGACCCGAAACCAGGUGAUCUACCCUUGGUCAGGUUGAAGUUCAGGUAACACUGAAUGGAGGACCGAACCGACUUACGUUGAAAAGUGAGCGGAUGAACUGAGGGUAGCGGAGAAAUUCCAAUCGAACCUGGAGAUAGCUGGUUCUCUCCGAAAUAGCUUUAGGGCUAGCCUCAAGUGAUGAUUAUUGGAGGUAGAGCACUGUUUGGACGAGGGGCCCCUCUCGGGUUACCGAAUUCAGACAAACUCCGAAUGCCAAUUAAUUUAACUUGGGAGUCAGAACAUGGGUGAUAAGGUCCGUGUUCGAAAGGGAAACAGCCCAGACCACCAGCUAAGGUCCCAAAAUAUAUGUUAAGUGGAAAAGGAUGUGGCGUUGCCCAGACAACUAGGAUGUUGGCUUAGAAGCAGCCAUCAUUUAAAGAGUGCGUAAUAGCUCACUAGUCGAGUGACACUGCGCCGAAAAUGUACCGGGGCUAAACAUAUUACCGAAGCUGUGGAUUGUCCUUUGGACAAUGGUAGGAGAGCGUUCUAAGGGCGUUGAAGCAUGAUCGUAAGGACAUGUGGAGCGCUUAGAAGUGAGAAUGCCGGUGUGAGUAGCGAAAGACGGGUGAGAAUCCCGUCCACCGAUUGACUAAGGUUUCCAGAGGAAGGCUCGUCCGCUCUGGGUUAGUCGGGUCCUAAGCUGAGGCCGACAGGCGUAGGC